CCCCAGACUCCUACGGGAGGCAGCAGUGAGGAAUAUUGGUCAAUGGGCUUACGCCUGAACCAGUCAAGUCGCGUGAGGGAAGACUGCCCUAUGGGUUGUAAACCUCUUUUGUCAGGGAGCAACGCCGGCUACGUGUAGCCGGACUGAGAGUACCUGAAGAAAAAGCAUCGGCUAACUCCGUGCCAGCAGCCGCGGUAAUACGGAGGGUGCGAGCGUUAAUCGGAAUCACUGGGCGUAAAGCGCGCGUAGGCGGCUUUUCAAGUCAGGGGUGAAAUCCCACGGCCCAACCGUGGAACUGCCUUUGAAACUGUAGAGCUUGAGUGUCGGAGAGGGUGGCGGAAUUCCAGGUGUAGGAGUGAAAUCCGUAGAUAUCUGGAGGAACACCGGUGGCGAAGGCGGCCACCUGGACGACAACUGACGCUGAGGUGCGAAAGCGUGGGUAGCAAACAGGAUUAGAUACCCCGGUA
rnacentral:rRNA from 1 species